UUACGCUCCCUGAGUUUUCGUUCGCUGUUCUGACACAAUUCUCUCGUGGGGGCGGGGCUAGUAGCAGUGUGUUCUCAUUGGCUACUGAGUUUUUGAUUGACAGCUUCUUGACCUGGAAGUGAAGACGUCAGUGUUGUGUUUACAUGUGUGGAUGUGAGCGUCUGUAAGCGCAGCUUUCUAUUUCAUUUAGGUGAUAUUAAGUUUAUAUCUGUAUUUAUUUACUGCUACACUAUAUUGUUGAGAUGAUUUCUUAUAGAAGGAAUAGUACAGACAAAUGAUAUAAUUUGUCAUCGUCGAUAUCAGAAUACUGGAUAGCCUACUCGUGGUGGAGAGGCAUAUUAGAGCUCAGUGAGAGCCCAUAACAUUAUACAGCAGUGUCGUCUUGAUUUAAUUGGGAGUUGAGCAACUUUUCCAUAAACACAAUUCUGAUGCUGACACAGAGGAUGGAGUGAUAAUACCAGAGAUCAACUGUCUCCAUCAGACAAUAAUGUUACUUUGUUCAGACAUAUCACCUUUGAAUGACUGGGAUCCUGAUCUUCAGACACCUGAUGUAUUUUAUUUUAAUAUUAUAAAAUAGCAAAUAUUUUAAUUUCUUUGGAGCUCUAGAUUAAAACAAACACAGU